GCUAGCUACAGGCUUAACACAUGCAAGUCGAGGGGCAGCAUGGUCUUAGCUUGCUAAGGCCGAUGGCGACCGGCGCACGGGUGAGUAACACGUAUCCAACCUGCCGUCUACUCUUGGACAGCCUUCUGAAAGGAAGAUUAAUACAAGAUGGCAUCAUGAGUCCGCAUGUUCACAUGAUUAAAGGUAUUCCGGUAGACGAUGGGGAUGCGUUCCAUUAGAUAGUAGGCGGGGUAACGGCCCACCUAGUCUUCGAUGGAUAGGGGUUCUGAGAGGAAGGUCCCCCACAUUGGAACUGAGACACGGUCCAAACUCCUACGGGAGGCAGCAGUGAGGAAUAUUGGUCAAUGGGCAAGAGCCUGAACCAGCCAAGUAGCGUGAAGGAUGACUGCCCUAUGGGUUGUAAACUUCUUUUAUAAAGGAAUAAAGUCGGGUAUGGAUACCCGUUUGCAUGUACUUUAUGAAUAAGGAUCGGCUAACUCCGUGCCAGCAGCCGCGGUAAUACGGAGGAUCCGAGCGUUAUCCGGAUUUAUUGGGUUUAAAGGGAGCGUAGAUGGAUGUUUAAGUCAGUUGUGAAAGUUUGCGGCUCAACCGUAAAAUUGCAGUUGAUAACUGGAUAUCUUGAGUGCAGUUGAGGCAGGCGGAAUUCGUGGUGUAGCGGUGAAAUGCUUAGAUAUCACGAAGAACUCCGAUUGCGAAGGCAGCCUGCUAAGCUGCAACUGACAUUGAGGCUCGAAAGUGUGGGUAUCAAACAGGAUUAGAUACUCUGGUAGUCCACACCGGUAAACCAUGAAUACUCGCUGUUUGCGAUAUACCUGCAAGCGGCCAAACGAAAGCCUUAAGUAUUCCUCCUGGGGAGUACGCCGGCAACGGUGGAACUCAAAGGAAUUGACGGGGGUCUGCUCAAGCGGAGGAACAUGUGGUUUAAUUCGAUGAUACGCGAGGAACCUUAUUCGGGCUUAAAUUGCAGAUGAAUUACGGUGAAAGCCGUAAGCUGCAAGGCAUCUGUGAAGGUGCUGCAUGGUUGUCGUCAGCUUGUGUCGUGAGGUGUUGGCUUAAGUGUCAUAACGAGCGCAACCCUUGUUGUCAGUUACUAACAGGUUCCGCUGAGGACUCUGACAAGACUGCCAUCGUAAGAUGUGAGGAAGGUGGGGAUGACGUCAAAUCAGCUCGGCCCUUACGUCCGGGGCUACACACGUGUUACAAUGGGGGGUACAGAGGGCCGCUACCUCGCGAGUGGAUGCCAAUCCCCAAAACCUCUCUCAGUUCGGACUGGAGUCUGCAACCCGACUCCACGAAGCUGGAUUCGCUAGUAAUCGCGCAUCAGCCUCGGCGCGGUGAAUACGUUC
rnacentral:rRNA from 1 species